rnacentral:rRNA from 1 species
GUGCAGCAGUCGAGAAUCCUUCGCAAUGCGGGAAACCGCGACGAGGGGACUCCCAGUGCCUACGCUCAGCGUAGGCUGUUCCCGAGCCUAGAAAGCUCGGGGAGUAAGGGCUGGGUAAGACGGGUGCCAGCCGCCGCGGUAAUACCCGCAGCCCGAGUGGUGGCCACUAUUAUUGGGCCUAAAGCGUCCGUAGCCGGCCCGGUAAAUGCCUGGGUAAAUCGUGAGGCCUAACCUCACGAAUUCCGGGUAGACUGCCGGGCUAGGGACCGGAGGAGGGAGAGGGUACUCCAGGGGUAGGGGUGAAAUCCUGUAAUCCCUGGAGGACCACCGGUGGCGAAGGCGCUCUCCUAGGACGGGUCCGACGGUGAGGGACGAAAGCCAGGGGAGCGAACCGGAUUAGAUACCCGUGUAGU